CCAAAAACAUUUUUAAUAGAAAUCAUUAUUAAUAAUAUCUGCUCAAUGAAUAAUUAAAUAGCCGCAGCUAUAUCUGUGCUAAGGUAGCAUAAUCAUUUGUCUUUUAAUUAAAGACUAGUAUGAAAGAUUUUACAUUCAAAUUAUUAUAUAAAUUUUAAAUCCUUAACUUAUUUUAAAUGUAAAAAAACGUUUAUUUAAAAGAAAGACGACAAGACCCUAUCGAACUUUACUUAAGUUUAACUGGGGCAGUUAAUUAAAAAUUAUUUUAAUAAUCUAAAAAUUAAACAGACCCAAUAAAAUUGAUAAUUUGAAUCAAGUUACCGUAGGGAUAACAGCAUAAUUACUUUCUAUAGAUCUUAUAUAAAAAUUAAUUUAUGACCUCGAUGUUGAAUUAAAUAUUCUAUUAAAUGCAAUAAUAUAAUAAGAAAGUCUGUUCGACUUUUAAAUAUUUACAUGAU
rnacentral:rRNA from 1 species